GAUUAGUCCCGUCGCUUGCGCCACCAGCCAUAUCAUGAUAUCAAUGUUUGGCCUCCGAGCUCUUCUAUCUCCCCAUUACACCUCUAUCGAAAUUAUUGAAGCUCCAAGGAAAUCGCACGGGAGCUCGCUGGCGAAUGCAUCCGACGGGUCUAGGUGAAGAUAUCGAUGGGUCCAGGCGGCGGCAGCGGCGGGAACAGCGACGUGCCGGGUGAGAUCCGGCGAGUAUACUGUGAUAUUCGUUAACUUCGUUAAUAAAAUGCUGGAUUGGAAUGAUUGUGGAUUAUGAAUCAGAAGAGGUUUUGUUGGAGGCUGUUGGUUGUGCUGGUUUAGAUUGGGUAAGAUAAAGUAACAGUUUUCGCUCUUUGCUGAGCCCUCCACAACUUGCAUGAUUUUGUUUAAAAAUCUGCUAUUAUUUACUGUAAAAAUUUCAUGUUCUUGUUAGUUUAGCAAACUGAAUCAAUGAGUUAUGUAGAGAAUAACAGUCCACAAAAAAACAGAUUCAUGAUAGCAAAUAUAUGACCACUUUAUUGAUCAUUCCCAUGCUGGAUGUAAACAAUUUCUUCAGAGCCAACGUAUAUGACAAUUAGCAUAAUAUAAGCCUUUUUACGUUACCCAGCA